GAUGAACGCUGGCGGCGUGCCUAAUACAUGCAAGUCGAGCGAACAGACGAGGAGCUUGCUCCUCUGACGUUAGCGGCGGACGGGUGAGUAACACGUGGAUAACCUACCUAUAAGACUGGGAUAACUUCGGGAAACCGGAGCUAAUACCGGAUAAUAUAUUGAACCGCAUGGUUCAAUAGUGAAAGACGGUUUUGCUGUCACUUAUAGAUGGAUUCGCGCCGCAUUAGCUAGUUGGUAAGGUAACGGCUUACCAAGGCAACGAUGCGUAGCCGACCUGAGAGGGGGUACGGCCACACUGAAAUGAAACCCCGGACCAGACCCCAAGGGAGGCAGGGAGUGGGAAAUCUCCCGAAAGGGGCGAAGGCUAGAAGGAGCAACGCCGGGGAAAGGAGGAAGGUUCUGGGACGGAAAAACUUUUUUUUUAGGGAAAAAAAAAUUUUUAGGUAACUAAGCACGUUUUGCGGGACCCUACCAAGGACCCCAAGCAAAACUAAG
rnacentral:rRNA from 1 species